rnacentral:rRNA from 1 species
CUCCGGUUGAUCUGGCCCGACCCGACUGCUAUCAGAGUGGGACUAAGCCAUGCGAGUCAACGCAGCAAUGCGUGGCAUACGGCUCAGUAACACGUAGUCAACAUGCCCAGGGGACGUGGAUAACCUCGGGAAACUGAGGAUAAACCGCGAUAGGCCAAGGUUUCUGGAAUGGACACUGGCUGAAACCUACAUGGCCCCUGGAUUGGACUGCGGCCGAUCAGGCUGUUGGUGAGGUAAUGGCCCACCAAACCUGUAACCGGUACGGGCUUUGAGAGAAGGAGCCCGGAGAUGGGCACUGAGACAAGGGCCCAGGCCCUAUGGGGCGCAGCAGGCGCGAAACCUCUGCAAUAGGCGAAAGCUUGACAGGGUUACUCUGAGUGAUGCCCGCUAAGGGCAUCUUUUGGCACCUCUAAAAAUGGUGCAGAAUAAGGGGUGGGCAAGUCUGGUGUCAGCCGCCGCGGUAAUACCAGCACCCCGAGUGGUCGGGACGAUUAUUGGGCCUAAAGCAUCCGUAGCUUGUUCUGCAAGUCCUCCGUUAAAUCCACCUGCUCAACAGAUGGGCUGCGGGGGAUACUACAGGGCUAGGAGGCGGGAGAGGCAAACGGUACUCAGUGGGUAGGGGUAAAAUCCUCUGAUCCACUGAAGACCACCAGUGGCGAAGGCGGUUUGCCAGAACGCGCUCGACGGUGAGGGAUGAAAGCUGGGGGAGCAAACCGGAUUAGAUACCCGGGUAGUCCCAGCUGUAAACGAUGCAGACUCGGUGAUGGGUUGGCUUUGAGCCAACCCAGUGCCGCAGGGAAGCCGUUAAGUCUGCCGCCUGGGGAGUACGGUCGCAAGACUGAAACUUAAAGGAAUUGGCGGGGGGAGCA